UGAGUAACCUGCCCUUAACUCUGGGAUAAGCCUGGGAAACUGGGUCUAAUACCGAAUAUGACCAUGCGCCUCCUGGUGUGUGGUGGAAAGCCUUUGCGGUGUGGGAUGGGCCCGCGGCCUAUCAGCUUGUUGGUGGGGUAAUGGCCUACCAAGGCGACGACGGGUAGCCGGCCUGAGAGGGCGACCGGCCACACUGGGACUGAGACACGGCCCAGACUCCUACGGGAGGCAG
rnacentral:rRNA from 1 species